rnacentral:rRNA from 1 species
GGCAGUAAAGGGUGAUAGCCCCGUAUCCGAAGGUGUUAGUGUUGUGAACUCGACGAGUAGGGCGGGACACGUGUUAUCCUGUCUGAAUAUGGGGGGACCAUCCUCCAAGGCUAAAUACUCCUGAUUGACCGAUAGUGAACCAGUACCGUGAGGGAAAGGCGAAAAGAACCCCGGCGAGGGGAGUGAAAUAGAACCUGAAACCGUGUACGUACAAGCAGUGGGAGCCUUGAUUUAUCAGGGUGACUGCGUACCUUUUGUAUAAUGGGUCAGCGACUUAUAUUCUGUAGCAAGGUUAACCGWAUAGGGGAGCCGUAGGGAAACCGAGUCUUAACUGGGCGAAUAAGUUGCAGGGUAUAGACCCGAAACCCGGUGAUCUAGCCAUGGGCAGGUUGAAGGUUGGGUAACACUAACUGGAGGACCGAACCGACUAAUGUUGAAAAAUUAGCGGAUGACUUGUGGCUGGGGGUGAAAGGCCAAUCAAACCGGGAGAUAGCUGGUUCUCCCCGAAAGCUAUUUAGGUAGCGCCUCGUGAACUCAUCUUCGGGGGUAGAGCACUGUUUCGACUAGGGGGUCAUCCCGACUUACCAACUCGAUGCAAACUACGAAUACCGAAGAAUGUUAUCACGGGAGACACACGGCGGGUGCUAACGUUCGUCGUGAAGAGGGAAACAACCCAGACCGCCAGCUAAGGUCCCAAAGUCAUAGUUAAGUGGGAAACGAAGUGGGAAGGCUCAGACAGCCAGGAUGUUGGCUUAGAAGCAGCCAUCAUUUAAAGAAAGCGUAAUAGCUCACUGGUCGAGUCGGCCUGCGCGGAAGAUGUAACGGGG